CCCCCUAGACAUUUCGAGCAGUUUUACACACGGUUUUGUGAUCGCACACAAGUUUUUAUAUACCCUUCUCUGUUACGCAUAUGACUGUGAUCGUCUGUCCUACUCUCGAGACGCAUAAUCGUGCAUUUUUGAUCCAACUCGGAAGAUAUAAACGCUGCUGACCGUGUAUGAACACACUGAUUUUAUAUGUGCGCUUGUGUUGGUGCGCAUGAGGCCUUGCUUGGUGAAAUAUUGACAAGUCCAACGAAGCCGGGUAAGUAAAACCAAAACAGAAGCCACCGAACAUAACUAACAUUUUGCAUCUUUUUAGGAAACAAAUUCUUCGGGUCAAAUGGUCAACAUGACACCGAACUCAUCCCUGUAUCGGAUGCGCCGAAGCUAUCAGGGCGAGCUUGGGAGACGGAAGUUUCCAAAUAUCUUCUGGUACCGGCAUCAGCGAACAGGAGCUUUGAUGUGAUCUACUAGUGCAAUGCUUCGCAUGUUGGCCAUCGUAGCUUCGAAUCCCAUGAGAUUGAUGGAGGAUUUACCACCCAACUGAACCGAGAGCCUGAACGGUGAACUUUCAACAACGGAAGGAUUCAACAAAUAGAUUGUUUCGGGAAUGAAGCAAUUCAGUUGCACAAAGUUUUCUACAACGCGGAAGUUUGGGCCUGGUUGGUUUCUUUGGCUGAGGUUGGCGUAAUCCUGUGGCUGGCCGAGGUUGGCGUUAUCCGAUGGCUGGUUGAGGUUGACGAUUUGGAUCAACAAUUAUUGCAUUAUUGCAUUAUUGGUUCGCUUGUCUACCUUAUUGUACAGCAAGUUGUUCUGCAUCUUUAGCCGCGUCAUUAUUUUACGCACUUAUUUAUAUCAAACGAAUAAAAAAUUCAUUUAUUUUUAAUUACGAUUUUAACAAUAUUUUUGAACGGUCAGGCGAAAGAAACCAUUUAUUACCACUACAUGCAUACCUACCAACCGCAUCUCACCAAUACAUGCAUACCGCUGGAUUGUCAAAGCUCACCCACACAA